CCUCGAGGAGUGUAGUGAUGUACAGAUCACAUUGACCACGGAGUUCAGAGCGGGAAGACGUAUUCUUCGGGCAUUUAUUUCACGUUCAGAAUUCGUUAGUUUUAUCUUUUUUGUUAUACAGUUUCACCAAUGGAUGAACGAGGCAUGAUUGGAUUGUGUGAGUGAAGAGAUAGUAUUCAGAACCACAAUUUGUUUUUCUUCUAUCCAAUUCCUCGCUGGGUAUUGCAAUACUUUGAAAACAGAUGGCACUUCAAUAAAAGAGAACAACAAAUGCCACACUUGAGAG